AUGGACCAAGCCAACGGAGGUUGCUCCCCGUGCAUGGAUGAUAUGAUACCAAUCACUGAUGUUGCACGGGAUGUCAAUUUGAAACCUCCAAAAUUCCAAUCAUCUGCUUUAUCAUAUUCUGUAGCUCAACUUGUUGCCGAUACUGAUACUAGCUUCGACUGGCGUGGCCAACGUAUUAUCUCAUCGGGCCAAUCUUUUUACAUACAGACGUAUUGGACGGCCAGGAUCGUCCUGGUGGAGCAGAGCGCAUACGCAAGAGCCAAGCUCCAAGAGCACGGCCCGACUAAACAAGCAACGGGGAAUAGUCGCUCGUGUCGCCCAGAAGAUGAGCGCGUUGUGAUCAACCACAGCGUGGGAGUCGUCAGACCAGCAGCAGAGUCGCGCAGGGAUAAGCCAUCCAUCCAGCACGGGACGGGGAUCUGGGAUCUCUUCCCAUCAUCUCCCACGCCCAACCACCGGCGGACCUACCAGAUUCCGGGAGGUCCCCUCCUCCGCCUACCCUGCGGCCGCGCGUUUCGAUUGGUCGGCUCUCCUCCUUCCACUUAG
rnacentral:rRNA from 1 species